GGAGUGUUUUUGGGCAUUCGGUUCCGGCACGAAAAACGAUGAAAAACGGGUGCAUUUCGGCACCCGAAUGCACUAUUGCCGGGUAGCAAAACUCGGGUGGAUUUUUUCGCAACGAACGCAUGCAAUCUUCCUAAAUAUGCACUAGAACAUGUUUGGGAGUGUUUUUGGGCAUUCGGUUCCGGCACGAAAAAUGAUGCAAAACGGGUGCAUUUCGGCACCCGAAUGCACUAUUGCCGGGUAGCGAAACUCGGGUGGAUUUUUUCGCAACGAACGCAUGCAAUCUUCCUAAAUAUGCACUAGAACAUGUUUGGGAGUGUUUUUGGCCAUUCGGUUGCGGCACGAAAAAUGAUGCAAAACGGGUGCAUUUCGGCACCCGAAUGCACUAUUGCCGGGUAGCGAAACUCGGGUGGAUUUUUUUGCAACGAACGCAUGCAAUCUUCCUAAAUAUGCACUAGAACAUGUUUGGGAGUGUUUUUGGCCAUUCGGUUGCGGCACGAAAAAUGAUGCAAAACGGGUGCAUUUCGGCACCCGAAUGCACUAUUGCCGGGUAGCGAAACUCGGGUGGAUUUUUUUGCAACGAACGCAUGCAAUCUUCCUAAAUAUGCACUAGAACAUGUUUGGGAGUGUUUUUGGGCAUUCGGUUCCGGCACGAAAAACGAUGCAAAACGGGUGCAUUUCGGCACCCGAAUGCACUAUUGCCGGAGAGCGAAACUCGGGUGGAUUUUUUCGCAACAAACGCAUGCAAUCUUCCUAAAUAUGCACUAGAACAUGUUUGGGAGUGUUUUUGGCCAUUCGGUUGCGGCACGAAAAAUGAUGCAAAACGGGUGCAUUUCGGCACCCAAAUGCACUAUUGCCGGGUAGCGAAACUCGGGUGGAUUUUUUCGCAACGAACGCAUGCAAUCUUCCUAAAUAUGCACAAGAACAUGUUUGGGAGUGUUUUUGGGCAUUCGGUUCCGGCACGAAAAAUGAUGCAAAACGGGUGCAUUUCGGCACCCGAAUGCACUAUUGCCGGGUAGCGAAACUUGGGUGGCUUUUUUCGCAACGAACGCAUGCAAUCUUCCUAAAUAUGCACUAGAACAUGUUUGGGAGUGUUUUUGGCCAUUCGGUUCCGGCACGAAAAAUGAUGCAAAACGGGUGCAUUUCGGCACCCGAAUGCACUAUUGCCGGGUAGCGAAACUCGGGUGGAUUUUUUCGCAACGAACCCAUGCAAUCUUCCUAAAUAUGCACUAGAACAUGUUUGGGAGUGUUUUUGGGCAUUCGGUUCCGGCACGAAAAACGAUGCAAAACGGGUGCAUUUCGGCACCCGAAUGCACUAUUGCCGGGUAGCGAAACUCGGGUGGAUUUUUUCGCAACGAACGCAUGCAAUCUUCCUAAAUAUGCACUAGAACAUGUUUGGGAGUGUUUUUGGCCAUUCGGUUGCGGCACGAAAAAUGAUGCAAAACGGGUGCAUUUCGGCACCCGAAUGCACUAUUGCCGGGUAGCGAAACUCGGGUGGAUUUUUUUGCAACGAACGCAUGCAAUCUUCCUAAAUAUGCACUAGAACAUGUUUGGGAGUGUUUUUGGCCAUUCGGUUGCGGCACGAAAAAUGAUGCAAAACGGGUGCAUUUCGGCACCCGAAUGCACUAUUGCCGGGUAGCGAAACUCGGGUGGAUUUUUUUGCAACGAACGCAUGCAAUCUUCCUAAAUAUGCACUAGAACAUGUUUGGGAGUGUUUUUGGGCAUUCGGUUCCGGCACGAAAAACGAUGCAAAACGGGUGCAUUUCGGCACCCGAAUGCACUAUUGCCGGAGAGCGAAACUCGGGUGGAUUUUUUCGCAACAAACGCAUGCAAUCUUCCUAAAUAUGCACUAGAACAUGUUUGGGAGUGUUUUUGGCCAUUCGGUUGCGGCACGAAAAAUGAUGCAAAACGGGUGCAUUUCGGCACCCAAAUGCACUAUUGCCGGGUAGCGAAACUCGGGUGGAUUUUUUCGCAACGAAUGCAUGCAAUCUUCCUAAAUAUGCACAAGAACAUGUUUGGGAGUGUUUUUGGGCAUUCGGUUCCGGCACGAAAAAUGAUGCAAAACGGGUGCAUUUCGGCACCCGAAUGCACUAUUGCCGGGUAGCGAAACUUGGGUGGCUUUUUUCGCAACGAACGCAUGCAAUCUUCCUAAAUAUGCACUAGAACAUGUUUGGGAGUGUUUUUGGCCAUUCGGUUCCGGCACGAAAAAUGAUGCAAAACGGGUGCAUUUCGGCACCCGAAUGCACUAUUGCCGGGUAGCGAAACUCGGGUGGAUUUUUUCGCAACGAACCCAUGCAAUCUUCCUAAAUAUGCACUAGAACAUGUUUGGGAGUGUUUUUGGGCAUUCGGUUCCGGCACGAAAAACGAUGCAAAACGGGUGCAUUUCGGCACCCGAAUGCACUAUUGCCGGGUAGCGAAACUCGGGUGGAUUUUUUCGCAACGAACGCAUGCAAUCUUCCUAAAUAUGCACUAGAACAUGUUUGGGAGUGUUUUUGGGCAUUCGGUUCCGGCACGAAAAAUGAUGCAAAACGGGUGCAUUUCGGCACCCGAAUGCACUAUUGCCGGGUAGCGAAACUCGGGUGGAUUUUUUCGCAACGAACCCAUGCAAUCUUCCUAAAUAUGCACUAGAACAUGUUUGGGAGUGUUUUUGGGCAUUCGGUUCCGGCACGAAAAACGAUGCAAAACGGGUGCAUUUCGGCACCCGAAUGCACUAUUGCCGGGUAGCGAAACUCGGGUGGAUUUUUUCGCAACGAACGCAUGCAAUCUUCCUAAAUAUGCACUAGAACAUGUUUGGGAGUGUUUUUGGGCAUUCGGUUCCGGCACGAAAAAUGAUGCAAAACGGGUGCAUUUCGGCACCCGAAUGCACUAUUGCCGGGUAGCGAAACUCGGGUGGAUUUUUUCGCAACGAACCCAUGCAAUCUUCCUAAAUAUGCACUAGAACAUGUUUGGGAGUGUUUUUGGCCAUUCGGUUCCGGCACGAAAAAUGAUGCAAAACGGGUGCAUUUCGGCACCCGAAUGCACUAUUGCCGGGUAGCGAAACUCGGGUGGAUUUUUUCGCAACGAACCCAUGCAAUCUUCCUAAAUAUGCACUAGAACAUGUUUGGGAGUGUUUUUGGGCAUUCGGUUCCGGCACGAAAAACGAUGCAAAACGGGUGCAUUUCGGCACCCGAAUGCACUAUUGCCGGGUAGCGAAACUCGGGUGGAUUUUUUCGCAACGAACGCAUGCAAUCUUCCUAAAUAUGCACUAGAACAUGUUUGGGAGUGUUUUUGGGCAUUCGGUUCCGGCACGAAAAAUGAUGCAAAACGGGUGCAUUUCGGCACCCGAAUGCACUAUUGCCGGGUAGCGAAACUCGGGUGGAUUUUUUCGCAACGAACCAUGCAAUCUUCCUAAAUAUGCACUAGAACAUGUUUGGGAGUGUUUUUGGCCAUUCGGUUCCGGCACGAAAAAUGAUGCAAAACGGGUGCAUUUCGGCACCCGAAUGCACUAUUGCCGGGUAGCGAAACUCGGGUGGAUUUUUUCGCAACGAACCCAUGCAAUCUUCCUAAAUAUGCACUAGAACAUGUUUGGGAGUGUUUUUGGGCAUUCGGUUCCGGCACGAAAAACGAUGCAAAACGGGUGCAUUUCGGCACCCAAAUGCACUAUUGCCGGGUAGCGAAACUCGGGUGGAUUUUUUCGCAACGAACGCAUGCAAUCUUCCUAAAUAUGCACAAGAACAUGUUUGGGAGUGUUUUUGGGCAUUCGGUUCCGGCACGAAAAAUGAUGCAAAACGGGUGCAUUUCGGCACCCGAAUGCACUAUUGCCGGGUAGCGAAACUUGGGUGGCUUUUUUCGCAACGAACGCAUGCAAUCUUCCUAAAUAUGCACUAGAACAUGUUUGGGAGUGUUUUUGGCCAUUCGGUUCCGGCACGAAAAAUGAUGCAAAACGGGUGCAUUUCGGCACCCGAAUGCACUAUUGCCAGGGUAGCGAAACUUGGGUGGCUUUUUUCGCAACGAACGCAUGCAAUCUUCCUAAAUAUGCACUAGAACAUGUUUGGGAGUGUUUUUGGCCAUUCGGUUCCGGCACGAAAAAUGAUGCAAAACGGGUGCAUUUCGGCACCCGAAUGCACUAUUGCCGGGUAGCGAAACUCGGGUGGAUUUUUUCGCAACGAACGCAUGCAAUCUUCCUAAAUAUGCACUAGAACAUGUUUGGGAGUGUUUUUGGGCAUUCGGUUCGGCACGAAAAAUGAUGCAAAACGGGUGCAUUUCGGCACCCGAAUGCACUAUUGCCGGGGUAGCGAAACUCGGGUGGAUUUUUUCGCAACGAACGCAUGCAAUCUUCCUAAAUAUGCACUAGAACAUGUUUGGGAGUGUUUUUGGGCAUUCGGUUCCGGCACGAAAAACGAUGCAAAACGGGUGCAUUUCGGCACCCGAAUGCACUAUUGCCGGGUAGCGAAACUCGGGUGGAUUUUUUCGCAACGAACGCAUGCAAUCUUCCUAAAUAUGCACUAGAACAUGUUUGGGAGUGUUUUUUGGCAUUCGGUUCCGGCACGAAAAAUGAUGCAAAACGGGUGCAUUUCGGCACCCGAAUGCACUAUUGCCGGGGUAGCGAAACUCGGGUGGAUUUUUUCGCAACGAACCCAUGCAAUCUUCCUAAAUAUGCACUAGAACAUGUUUGGGAGUGUUUUUGGCCAUUCGGUUCCGGCACGAAAAAUGAUGCAAAACGGGUGCAUUUCGGCACCCGAAUGCACUAUUGCCGGGUAGCGAAACUCGGGUGGAUUUUUUCGCAACGAACCCAUGCAAUCUUCCUAAAUAUGCACUAGAACAUGUUUGGGAGUGUUUUUGGGCAUUCGGUUCCGGCACGAAAAACGAUGCAAAACGGGUGCAUUUCGGCACCCGAAUGCACUAUUGCCGGGUAGCGAAACUCGGGUGGAUUUUUUCGCAACGAACGCAUGCAAUCUUCCUAAAUAUGCACUAGAACAUGUUUGGGAGUGUUUUUGGGCAUUCGGUUCCGGCACGAAAAAUGAUGCAAAACGGGUGCAUUUCGGCACCCGAAUGCACUAUUGCCGGGGUAGCGAAACUCGGGUGGAUUUUUUCGCAACGAACCCAUGCAAUCUUCCUAAAUAUGCACUAGAACAUGUUUGGGAGUGUUUUUGGCCAUUCGGUUCCGGCACGAAAAAUGAUGCAAAACGGGUGCAUUUCGGCACCCGAAUGCACUAUUGCCGGGUAGCGAAACUCGGGUGGAUUUUUUCGCAACGAACCCAUGCAAUCUUCCUAAAUAUGCACUAGAACAUGUUUGGGAGUGUUUUUGGGCAUUCGGUUCCGGCACGAAAAACGAUGCAAAACGGGUGCAUUUCGGCACCCAAAUGCACUAUUGCCGGGUAGCGAAACUCGGGUGGAUUUUUUCGCAACGAACGCAUGCAAUCUUCCUAAAUAUGCACAAGAACAUGUUUGGGAGUGUUUUUGGGCAUUCGGUUCCGGCACGAAAAAUGAUGCAAAACGGGUGCAUUUCGGCACCCGAAUGCACUAUUGCCGGGUAGCGAAACUUGGGUGGCUUUUUUCGCAACGAACGCAUGCAAUCUUCCUAAAUAUGCACUAGAACAUGUUUGGGAGUGUUUUUGGCCAUUCGGUUCCGGCACGAAAAAUGAUGCAAAACGGGUGCAUUUCGGCACCCGAAUGCACUAUUGCCGGGUAGCGAAACUUGGGUGGAUUUUUUCGCAACGAACGCAUGCAAUCUUCCUAAAUAUGCACUAGAACAUGUUUGGGAGUGUUUUUGGGCCAUUCGGUUCCGGCACGAAAAAUGAUGCAAAACGGGUGCAUUUCGGCACCCGAAUGCACUAUUGCCGGGUAGCGAAACUCGGGUGGAUUUUUUCGCAACGAACGCAUGCAAUCUUCCUAAAUAUGCACUAGAACAUGUUUGGGAGUGUUUUUGGGCAUUCGGUUCCGGCACGAAAAAUGAUGCAAAACGGGUGCAUUUCGGCACCCGAAUGCACUAUUGCCGGGUAGCGAAACUCGGGUGGAUUUUUUCGCAACGAACCAUGCAAUCUUCCUAAAUAUGCACUAGAACAUGUUUGGGAGUGUUUUUGGGCAUUCGGUUCCGGCACGAAAAACGAUGCAAAACGGGUGCAUUUCGGCACCCGAAUGCACUAUUGCCGGGUAGCGAAACUCGGGUGGAUUUUUUCGCAACGAACGCAUGCAAUCUUCCUAAAUAUGCACUAGAACAUGUUUGGGAGUGUUUUUGGGCAUUCGGUUCCGGCACGAAAAAUGAUGCAAAACGGGUGCAUUUCGGCACCCGAAUGCACUAUUGCCGGGUAGCGAAACUCGGGUGGAUUUUUUCGCAACGAACGCAUGCAAUCUUCCUAAAUAUGCACUAGAACAUGUUUGGGAGUGUUUUUGGGCAUUCGGUUCCGGCACGAAAAAUGAUGCAAAACGGGUGCAUUUCGGCACCCGAAUGCACUAUUGCCGGGUAGCGAAACUCGGGUGGAUUUUUUCGCAACGAACGCAUGCAAUCUUCCUAAAUAUGCACUAGAACAUGUUUGGGAGUGUUUUUUGGGCAUUCGGUUCCGGCACGAAAAACGAUGCAAAACGGGUGCAUUUCGGCACCCGAAUGCACUAUUGCCGGGUAGCGAAACUCGGGUGGAUUUUUUCGCAACGAACGCAUGCAAUCUUCCUAAAUAUGCACUAGAACAUGUUUGGGAGUGUUU
rnacentral:lncRNA from 1 species